rnacentral:rRNA from 1 species
AUGGCAAAAUCUUCACAGAUGUUUGUCACCCUCAUGUGCCUUCUGCUUCUGUACACCAGCCUUCAUGUCCAUGGAGAAGUGGACACCAGUAUCAGAACAAGCAGCAUCCUAGUACAGCCAGCAAGGAGGGUUUUGCAAGCUACGUAUGUACCUCAGACAACUAUAACAAGACAGUGCAACAUAUGCCACUGCAGCGAUGAUGGUGAUAAAACUUGGUAUGUAACAACAUGCUGCUCUGAGGCAAUUUGCAAUGAUCCAGCCGAGCCAUCUGGCACUUGUACUUCUCGCAGAAUCUCAUGCGGCGGUUGUGAUGAAAAAACCUACAAGUAG